GGGGAUGUAUUGUUUCGACAGGAUUGCACUUUAAAAACUGCAAGCCGAAUACGAUUCUAAAGCGCGUUAGGCUUUGAAUCAAAUUACGUGCAAAGAACAAACUUGCACAACUGGCUGAUGCCCUUUUCGGUGUCAGGCAGUCAGCUUACGCAUUUGCUGCAUAAGUAAAGCUUGAGCUUGUCUCUCUGGCUUUUUCUCGGUGAAGCUUUUGAGGCACAAACUAAGCCGAGAGUAGUCCGCUCAUUUUGAUCAAAUGGGCGAGACGAAACUGCCGAUCUUUGUUUGAAUUUCGCCCGCCUCGCUUCGCGGGGCGAAGUGGGCCUGUUAAUCGGCCACAAAUUCAAACGAGAAUUUAUAGAUUAACUAAGCUUGUAGACGUUUUUAAUUUGUAUUCUUGGACCCGAGUUCAAAGCUCGGCAUCUCCACAC
rnacentral:tmRNA from 2 species